rnacentral:lncRNA from 1 species
AUUACUAAAGAAAAUUUAAGUUGAUAGAGAUUAGUGCUUUUCGUUAAACAACCAUUAUACUUUAAAAGCUUAAGUUUCCCAUCACGUUUGGACCCGAGAUUUUUUGCAUGACCCAUGACGUUGAUUUGAAUUAAAUGAGAAAAAAUUAAUUAUGCUAGGGGCUUAACGUGACUUGAACUCAGGCCCUCCUUUUUUUAUACCAUGUGAAAUAACCAUUUUUAUAUUUAACAAUUUUACUAAUUCUCUUUUUCAUGUCUGGACUUGAGAGUUUUAAUUGGCCCACGGUGUGGACCACGGUGUGGACUUCAAUACAAUAAAAUUGAAUAUAAUGAAAUCAAGAGUGCAUUAUUGGAAUUCCAACUGAAUCAGGAUCUCGUGCUCAAAUACUAUAUAAAAUAAUCAAUUAUUCUAAGAACUUAAGGUAAUUAAAAAAUAGUGUUUUUAAU